GUCUCCGUGGCGCAAUCGCUAGCGCGUUCGGCUGUUAACCGAAAGGGUUGGGUGUUCGAGCCCACCCGGGACG
rnacentral:tRNA from 1 species